AACGAACGCUGGCGGCAUGCCUAACACAUGCAAGUCGAACGAACCCUUCGGGGUUAGUGGCGCACGGGUGCGUAACGCGUGGGAAUCUGCCCUUGGCUUCGGAAUAACAGUUAGAAAUGACUGCUAAUACCGGAUGAUGUCGCAAGACCAAAGAUUUAUCGGACAGGGAUGAGCCCGCGUAGGAUUAGGUAGUUGGUGGGGUAAAGGCCUACCAAGCCGACGAUCCUUAGCUGGUCUGAGAGGAUGAUCAGCCACACUGGGACUGAGACACGGCCCAGACUCCUACGGGAGGCAGCAGUGGGGAAUAUUGGACAAUGGGGGCAACCCUGAUCCAGCAAUGCCGCGUGAGUGAUGAAGGCCUUAGGGUUGUAAAGCUCUUUUACCCGGGAUGAUAAUGACAGUACCGGGAGAAUAAGCUCCGGCUAACUCCGUGCCAGCAGCCGCAGUAACAC
rnacentral:rRNA from 1 species